rnacentral:rRNA from 1 species
CAGUAGCCGCGGGAAUACGGAGGGGGCUAGCGUUGUUCGGAAUUACUGGGCGUAAAGCGCACGUAGGCGGCUUUGCAAGUCAGAGGUGAAAGCCCGGGGCUCAACCCCGGAAUUGCCUUUGAGACUGCAGGGCUAGCAGGUGAGAGAGGUGAGUGGAAUUCCGAGUGUAGAGGUGAAAUUCGUAGAUAUUAGGAAGAACACCAGUGGCGAAGGCGGCUCACUGGCCCGGAACUGACGCUGAGGUACGAAAGCGUGGGGAGCAAACAGGAUUAGAUACCCCAGUAGUCCCUGUCUCUUAUAC